GUCUGUAUGUAGUUUUAUAGAGUCUAACCUGCCCGUUGAGAAAUUGAAAGGCCGCAGUAUUUUAAACUGUGCUAAGGUAGCAUAAUCAAUAGUGUUUUAAUUGAAGGCUUGUAUGAAGGGUUGGACAAAGAAAUAGCUGUCUUUUUUUUUAUAUUUGAAUUUGUCUUUUAAGUGAAAAGACUUAAAUAAGUUUAAGGGACGAUAAGACCCUAUAAAUCUUUAUAUUAACUAUUUUUUAUUUUUAUUUUUAAUGUUUAUAAAAUAAAAAUUUCAAAUAUUAUAUUGGGGUGAUAAGAAUAUUAAAUAUACUGUUCUAAUAAAAAACAAAUAUUUUUGAAUAUAAUAGAUCCUUCUUAAAGAUUAAAAGUUUAAGUUACUUUAGGGAUAACAGCGUUAUUUUUUUUGAGAGUUCUAAUCGAAAAAAAAGUUUGCGACCUCGAUGUUGAAUUAAAAUUUCUUUAUAGCGCAGCAGUUAUAAAAGAAAGUCUGUUCGACUUUUAAAAUUUU
rnacentral:rRNA from 1 species